UGUAGAGGGGAAUAGCCCAGAGAAAUUUGGAUUAAUGCCCCAUAGUAUUAUGAAAUAGCAUUAUUUUAUAAUUAAACAUUUAUGGCUACAAGAUGAGUAUGCGUUCUAUUAGUUAGUAGGUAAGGUAACGGCUUACCUAGACUUCGAUAGAUAGGGGUCCUGAGAGGGAGAUCCCCCACACUGGUACUGAGACACGGACCAGACUCCUACGGGAGGCAGCAGUGAGGAAUAUUGGACAAUGGGCGAGAGCCUGAUCCAGCCAUGCCGCGUGCAGGAAGACGGCCCUAUGGGUUGUAAACUGCUUUUAUAGAGGAAGAAACACUCCCACGUGUGGGAGCUUGACGGUACUCUACGAAUAAGGAUCGGCUAACUCCGUGCCAGCAGCCGCGGUAAUACGGAGGAUCCAAGCGUUAUCCGGAAUCAUUGGGUUUAAAGGGUCCGUAGGCGGGACAAUCAGUCAGCGGUGAAAGUCUGUGGCUCAACCAUAGAAUUGCCAUUGAUACUGUUGUUCUUGAAUACUUAUGAAGUGGUUGGAAUAUGUAGUGUAGCGGUGAAAUGCAUAGAUAUUACAUAGAACACCGAUUGCGAAGGCAGAUCACUAAUAAGUCAUUGACGCUGAUGG
rnacentral:rRNA from 1 species